rnacentral:lncRNA from 1 species
CACGCCUUAGCCGGAAGUCCCACCCUUUCCCCGGAACCCCGCGGGCGGGUCCCGCAGUGAGGGGCCGGCGCGGAGGUGCUCCCCGCGAGGCCCUGGUGCGCGGGGCCCGGGACGCGCGCGCUCGGCACCUUCUCGCGUGCGAGCGCCGCCUCGGGUUGGGUGCUCAGUCAGGGAGGGUGCUCUGUGUGAAAGGAGCGGUGCCUUCCGCGGACCAGCAGGUCCCGCUCGGUCUCCCGGCGGCAGCAGGGUCCUGGAAGCUGGGCUCCAGGCGACCUGGGUGCCGCGUUGAGUGCCAGCGAGGAGCAGUUUGUCUCCGCCUUCGGCCGAGAUGAGAGGAGACUCGUCGUGACCUUGCAGACUUGCAGCUUAGUUUUUCAUGAUCACCAAAUCAAAGAGAGACUUGAAAGUACAAAAUUCCCCAAAGAAAGGCACCUGCAGCCCACUGCCACAGAGCUGUGGCUGACAUUUUGAUUAGCAUCUUUCAAGUCUUCCAUUCUCAUGAUUUUUCUGUGCAAUAAAUGAAAUUUUUCUUUCAUAAAAUUAUAUUGCACAGUGCUUUACUAGCCUACUGUUUAUACCUCUUUACUAGCCUACUGUUUAUACCUCUUUACUAGCCUAUUGUUUAUACCUCUUUACUAGCCUACUGUUUAU